UACGUAGGGUCCGAGCGUUGUCCGGAAUUAUUGGGCGUAAAGGGCUCGUAGGCGGUUUGUCGCGUCGGGAGUGAAAACACGGGGCUUAACCCCGUGCCUGCUUCCGAUACGGGCAGACUAGAGGUAUGCAGGGGAGAACGGAAUUCCUGGUGUAGCGGUGAAAUGCGCAGAUAUCAGGAGGAACACCGGUGGCGAAGGCGGGUCUCUGGGCAGUAACUGACGCUGAGGAGCGAAAGCGUGGGGAGCGAACAGG
rnacentral:rRNA from 1 species